UUUUUUAGCCUAAACGCUUGCGGGAAGGAGCUUUUGAAAACUGGCGAUUUCGAGCGGUCCAAAGCGAUAUCUAGCGGCUUCUAUGAUUGGUGUCAAUCGCUACCAACCGCAAACGCUCCGUUUACGGGUGGUAGAGAGAGAACCAAUCAAGCCCUUAGACCAUCUCCAAUGUAUAGUUCUAUUCUUAGGAAUAUUCUUUUUCUAUUUUAUAUAUUAAUAUCUUUUAAUUAUAUAAUUUAUAAUUUGACCCCAUAUAUUAUAGUUUUGGAAAAUUCACAUUAAAUUAAAUACUAAUAUAUAUUAAAAAAA
rnacentral:sRNA from 1 species